rnacentral:misc_RNA from 1 species
UCAUGCAUAAAGCGAAAAGCGCUCAUUCUACUUUUCCGCACUCGCUUGUGCUCUUGGUGCCGUGUGUAACGUCUUCCUUACACGCUCUCUUUUCCUUGUUCCCGUAUCUGCGCGUACCGGACCAGAGCAGAAAGGCGCUUGCCGCUUGCCCCUUUGCCGCUCCUGUUCUCGCGCAUCCUUGCGUUCUGUCGCAUCUCUCCAUCACAGAAACGGCAAGGGGCGUGCUGGUGUGCGAGCGUCGCCAUAUACAGAGAGAAGACCGAAGUCGCUGCCCCCACGCAGCAGCAGAGCGCGGAGCUACGGAGGGAGGUGCACGCAAAAACAGCAACGAGCACUUACUUGUACAAGGGCCGCAAAAUCAAAAUAGAUUCGCAUCGCGAUCGCGCCAGCCUGGGCGUAUCUGUGUGCGUCUCUCUCUCUCUCUGCUUUCCCGACUCUCGCACGCGAUAGUGUCGCACACUCACCGAGGCGGAGAGAGUGGGGUUCGGGGGAGACAACACAGAACGACCUCUCCCCGACUGUUGACGCGCUAGUUUUCCAUUCCGACUGCUUGGUAAGCUAAAGGCGAGCCCACGACAACAGCCUCCUCGAUCCUCCACCUCCUUUUCAGCUUUUCGUGCCCGUCAUCUUCCUUUGUUGCUGUGGUUGUGGUUGUUGUGCAACCACAUCACUGCUUCAGCGCCUCUUCGCCAUCAUCGUCACUGAGGGCAGCGCACGCUUUCUCCCCGCACCCUUUCAAGAGGAGUAGUACUCUGCCCCCACCGCCACCGCCGCCACGAGCCCUCUUCUUGUGCCUAUCCCUGUGCCUCUCUGCAUCGGAACCUGCAACCUUCUUUAUCCUGCUAAUCUAUCAUUCACGUUCACGUUCUCUCUCCCCCUCUUCUUUCAUACUUAUUUUGUACCGGAUCUCUUCGUUUUUUGUUGCUGUGGCUGCUGUUCCCGUCAUCUUCGUCUCGCUCGCACUCUCUCUAUUCCUUCCCUCCCUCCUCCCCCUCCAGCAUCUCUUGUGGUUUCGUCGGCCUUUUCCUUUUCUGAGCAGUGAGAGACGGCGCGUGUGCGCCUAUUCACGCUUUUUUUCACGCACACGCACAUACAUAGCAUUUUGUCUUUUUCCUGUACCUAAACAAGUGUGCGUGUGUGCGUGUGCGCCACCCCCUUGCUCCCCUGUUUCUCUUUUGCCUUGGGUCUCCCUCCCCUCACCGACGACUCUCCUCUCUUGUGUUGUCUUCUUUUUCGUGUUCGACUUGGCGUGGCUGUCGUACCUUUUACACGUCUACCUUCUCGCUCGCUGGUGAAUUAGCAUGCUGCUGUUGCGUGGGUCGUGCGGUGCUCCUCGUCAACUCGCUGUUUCGUUCCCCCCCCCUGCCGCCGCCGUCGCCGCCCCCACCACCCUCCACACUCCGGUUGUUGCGUUUUUCGUUCUUCGACGGUUUUCUGCGUUGUGUCUUCGUCUCCGUGUGUCGUGCGUCUGUGCGUGGGUGAGUGACGCCUUACCUUGCCGUGCCUGUGGCGGGCUCGUCCUUUGCGCCAUCGGCCGAGAGCCGCCCCAGAAAGACGGCGAAGGCGUAAGUCGACAAGGGCGAGGAGCGUACACGUUAAAGAAAGAGGAGGUGUGAAGGACGGAGUUCUCGAAGCGCGACGCACAAGGGAGAGCGGCGGGACAACGGUCAUUGUGUUUGGCGGCAUUUCGCGGCUGGCCGGUGUGGACCUCUUCGCCUUUUCUUCGCUCUUGCCGGCAAGAGCGACGAGGGAGAGAGGGUGAGGUGGGGCGACCCGCACGCAACAGACGAAGGAAAUUGAGUCGAUGCCCCUCCCCUCCCCCCCCCUGCAACACCCUCCUGCUAGCCGACCUGUUUUCUGCACACGUGUCUCUGUCUGUCUGUGUGUGUGUCUUCACGUCUCUGCUGUGCAUCUCUCCCUCCUCCAUCACCUCGGCCCGUGCUCGUACUCGCUUUUCGUUUUGCGGCUGCGCAGGCAGACGGUGGCAUCGCGUGCCGCCUCAGGUGAGCCUCACCUACCUCUGUUUUGUUGUUGCUUUUGGGGGAGGUGCAUGGGUUAUUGCUCCCUCCUCCUCAUCCUCCUCUUCGUCGGGUAUUCCAGCCGGUGUCGUACCCCACCCCUCCCUCUCUCCCGUCCGCUGCUCUGUCUCCGUCGCUGAGCUUCUCAGCCGAAAAGCGGAACAAACCUGCGUUGCAGCCAACAGGCGACGAGCCCCCCCCCCACAACAGCCCGAAGGAACCUCACGCAGAGCCGUGCUCACACACGCGCACACAUCUUUUUAUACAUACGCACACCUACACCUAGACGUGGACAUUGUACCGACUCCUUACUCGCAUAUUCUCGUCGCUCGUGUGUGUGUGUAUCUUGUCCACCUGCACCCUCCAACGCUGUCUGUUUCUCCUCCUUCAUUUCUGUCUCUUCGUGUGGUGGUGACGAGUGGCUGCCGUUGUAUGACGCACUUGCCUCCACUCUGCUGCCCCGCCCAUCUUUUUCUACCGUCACCUCUUCCGUCUCCGUCCGCGUGUGUGCUGCGUGGCCUUUUCGGGGGGGGAAUAUAUAUCUGUGUGUGUGUGUGUGUAUCCCUGCGAGGGGCGCCUUUCACGAGUUCGGCGGCCUCGUGUCGUCGUUGAGCUCUUGGUCGCGGCUGUCAUUGCUGCCACGCGCGGAACGAAGCCGACGAAGACGAAGAGGAGGAGGAAGGGAGGGGAGGGGGGGAAGUGAAGCGAAAUGGGCAAUGCACAGGCACGCGGCGUAGGCGGUGGUGGUCUACGCAACAGCAAGGAGCCGAUCUUACCCGCAUCAACUUCAGUGAACCCGCUGUGCUACCCCUCAAACCUCGUCAAUCGCACGAGUGCCCUGCCACUGCCGUCUAGCCGGCAGCCACGGGCGCCGGAAACCUCUUCCAUGCUAUCACUGAGCACCUUCGGAGCACCUGAACGAGUAGAGAGGCCGCAACAGCAACCCUCCUCGCUAUUUGUGGACGGUAAAGCCCGAGGAGGCCGCGGACGCGAUGAGGACAAGUCAAGCCGCAGGGUGUUGGUCGCCGUGGAGGAGGCAAGCAACGCCCCUCGCCGGCUCUCCAUUUCUCCAAGCCCCAACGCGUUGGCGCCGUCGCAGUCGGUCAGUGGCACCAUCGCCUCGCAAAGCCCAUCUGCGGCCGUGAAGCCGCGGCGAAUGACCAGCAAGGCACGUGACAUUCUUCGCGGCAUCUUCGUCCCUCGCCAAGGGGAGCUGGAGUGUGUGCUCUCCGGCUUCCUCACCCGAGAGGAUUACGCCCUUAUGCGGCGCUUCUGGGCACCUUUUCUGACGACGGAGCUGAGGGAUAAGUGGUACAUCGACGCGGUGAUGCUCUCCGUGCUCGGCAGGGAUCGUUGGCGGUCGUGGGGUCAGCCAAAGGAGGCCGCUUGUGUCUCCUUCAGCCGGGAAGAGGUGCUGCAGUUGAACCAGAAGCGACGGGAGUGCUACGAUCGGCUGCGCGAGUGCCUCACGGAGCUGAGCGGCGCCUUGAUGGCGAAGGGCGACCACCGUGGAAGGAAGAGAAAUCGGGAGACGCUGAUGGCGGGCAACCAUUGCCACGAAGUCGCCGUGGCUGGAGUCUCUGCAGUCGAGUCGGAUGGCAUCUCUUGCAGCGGCAAGGACGGCAACCACAGAAGCGCCGACGCCCAUUUGCUUGGCCGCGCCAGCACUUCUCAGCCUGAUCGGCUUUGCGUCCCCGACGCGACAACGACGGUGCAGCGCCAGGAGCCGCUGAGCGUGUUGCUCAUGCGCCUGCAGACAACCGUGUCCACCAGCUUCGACUGCUUCGACCUCAUCGCCGCGCGAGUCCCUGCCGCCAUCGUCUCCUCGCUGCCGAGUCAGUAUUUCUCGAGCUCCACUCCAGUCGUGUACGAGCAGGUGGCGUACCAGGAGAAGAAGAAAGGCGACCUCGACGCGCUCUCCUUCUUCGUUACCAUCGAGUCGCGGCGACAGCUUCUCAAUGGGCGCGUGCCGGCCGACAUGAACCGCAACGCAACAUCAAACAUGAACGGUCACAACAACGUUGACCCCGGCGACCUCGUCCUCUUUACUCGCGAGGACAAGGAGGGCCCGAUCCAGACCACACAACAGCUCUACUCAGCCGUCCGCCACGCCGGGCUGGUCGUUACGACAGCGUGCUCGUCAAUGGUGCUGACAGUACUUUUCCACAUCGCCGAUGUGCUGUGCAAGCGGCAGGCGUUCCGUGACAACAAGGCAAAGGCGGCGCAGCUCGGUAUCACACUCGAGCGGCUGAUUGACCGCAAGGCUGCCCCUGUGCACACGUACGCGGAUAAGGCAGUGGAGAAGCUUGAGGCGCUCAAGCGCGACGUCGUCACGGGCGAGAUGUCGCUGACGGUGCUGGCGAACGAGUUGGUAUCGCGCUUCCUUAGCGAGAACCGUGCCAAGAUGGAAAAGCUGCGGGACUGCUACCCCGAUCUCUUCGCUUACCUGGAGAUGGCCGCGACGCCGGAGGAGCGAGAUGACUUUGAUGUGACGCGGUUGCUGAGCGGGAUAGCGCUGAAGCUGAUGUUCCUGACCGGCGGUGGCCAGCGCAGCAUCGUCGCAGAUGACCGCCGUGUGCCGGCUGGAGGAAACCGGAUCACAGACGACGUGGCGCUCAGCACCAUGCUCGAGGUGCCGAUUCUCAACCUCAUCUGCUGGAUUGGGUGCAUGAUGGGCAUGCCGAUCAUGUCGAGCCACGGCCUCCUCGCCCCGCAGCACCAAAGCAAGCCGCCGCUCACCCUCAUGGAGAUGGACGAGUGCUGCGGGGCGAUGCGCGUGCUGUUCCAGGCCGUCGGCGCCCUGCCUUGCGGUAACGCUUGCCCGCAGAAUAUCAAGGAGUGGUUUCCGCUCUUCCCCUUCUACGCGGUGAACUCGGAGGGCAAGCGCGUCCUCCUCUACCUUUACACCGCCCAGGUCACCGCCAUCCAACGAGUGCCGCUGACGCUGCAGAAAGACAUGAUGCUCCUCUCCUUCGCGACGGCGUUUACGAGAGUCAUGGGCCGAGGCAUGGCGGACAUCUCCAACUACUUUUUCGAGCCGAACUUCACUGUUGGCCACUCCCCCUGCAACGCAGACAGCAACAACGGCAUGGCCAGCGCGGAUGCGACGCAGCGGUCGGCGAGCCCAAGUGAACCGAUGUUGCCGUCGAUGAGCGGCAGUGGUGCCUCGUGGUCAAAGAGCACGGCCUUUGAGCGUAGGACGUCCCCCAGUGUCUCCCCAUCACGGACCACAGCAGACGGCAAGGCUCGCAGAGAUGAGUGCCGCAGCUCCUCGGCCUCCUCCGACGCGUCCUCCGCGUGUAGCACGUUGAUGGAGGAGAACCUCAACAUCGACGUGUACACUUGCAUGAAUCCGCAGAUGCAGCUGUACGUGCGCUGCAGCAACGAGGCCACGACGCGCCGACACGGCGUGACGGAGCUGACGCCUUUCGUGAGCACCACCUUCUACUGUUCGACUCGCGACAUUGAGGCUGACCGGCUCGAUAUCGCGCCGGCGCUCUGCCACGCUGUGCCGAAGCUGCUGCCUAGUGAGGGCUUCUUGACGCUUCGCUGGACAUCUGGCGAGCCGUUGGUAACCUUCUGCGCCGGCGACCUCGUCUCCGUCAUGGCAGAGCGCGUGGCCACGUCGGCGGCGGACGGCGGUGAUGCGACAAGAGUGUCUAGCUCGUCGCAGCAGCAGUCGCGCACCUCCAGUGCACCCGACUUCACCGGCGCCACCCCCCGCGUGCCCGAGGGCAAUGAUGCGUUGGACGCGCUGAUGAGUGGAAAGGAAGGUGCGAUUGGGACCGCGGACGACAACAGCGGCAACGCGGCAGCUGCGAGGGCGCGGACGCACCUGGUCACCAUUGAUGAGCCCGAGAAGCACAGCAGUGACACGGUCUCAUCUCUCCACAGCCACGCGGGCGCCUACAGCACCGCCUUGGAGGACGACUCCAUGGCCAUGUCCAGCAGCGGCUGCCCCGUGCUGGAGACGGCGCACGUGUACCAAGGCGUCAUGCACGACGUCCUCGACCUGCAUGAAAAGGUUAGCCGCCGCAUUGGUGUGCAGUGGAAAGUGCUCGAGGUGCUGCCGUGCAGCCCACUCGCUAGGCGAUCGUGUCGCAUGAGCGGGAGCAACUCGUUGAGCGCGGUGGCGGCGGCCGGGAAUCAGGACGAGAGUGACAGGCACAACGCGUACUACAGAGAGGUGGUCCUGCAUGUCACGGCGCUGGACAUGCCGUUCGCAGUUCCGCUGCGCAUCUUGACCAUCGGCCACGAACGCGCCUCCAUGAGCGCCUUCACCUUCGUCGACCCGAGCGAUGAUACGGUGUGCUGGUCGAAUCCGAACCUGAUCGCCUCCAUCUUGAAUAGCGACUGGAGCCAGGACGGCGGCAAGAGCAGCCGCCCUGCACUCGCAGACGUCAUGGCGGCGGCGGCGAAUGAGCUCACGCUUCCGGCAGCAGCGGCAGCGGCAGUCAGGGGCAGCCAUCCUGUUCCGAGUGGGCUGCUCUGCGACACGGAGGAGGCGCUGCACAGUAUUUACUACUCGAUCGGCGUUCUCCUCGGUAACGCCAUCACGAACGGCGUGCACUUCACGGCUCCGAUCGCGCCGUUGGCAUUCCUACUGAUGAAGAAGGCGAUAAUGAGCGGUGACUACUCCUUCAAGAACUUCAUGUGGCUGGAGCCGGCGGAUGGCAACCUUCUAAGCCCGACGCUGCUGCUGAACUCCGCCUAUGAAAUUCUGAACAUGACGGAUCACCAGUACGUGGCCUUCCUACACAUGCGCGGCCUGGGCAACCCUGACUCGCACAUCUUCCCGGUCGUUCACAGUCUUGCCGACGAAAUUAGUGAGGGCAAGGCAUCGCUGCUGCAGCAGCAGUCGAACUCUCAGGCAUCGUCGUCGAAGCAGCAGCACCGUCGGCAAGGCUCGCAAUAUGUCAAGCUCCGUUUGCAUCAGCGAUCGUGCGACGCAACGAACGCCUCGAUUCCGCUGGACCGCUCGCUGAACACACCCAGAACGUCGGUGAGCGUACUCGGGUACUUGGAGUCGAUCCAAGCCUACAACCGCACGGGAAGCGCAUUCCACCGCAGCAGCUGCGACAUGAGCAACGAUAGCGGUGGCGGUGGCAGCUUUAUGCCCUCCUUCUUGCUUGGCGCGCACGUGCCUGUUCAGGACGCAAUACAAGAGUAUCGUGAGCAGCAGCAGAGACAGCAGACAACGGCGAUAAAGAGCAGUGCCCCUCCGCUGGUGCUGAAUAGCCGAAGCGACGACCAGCUGCACGCGCGUCUGCCCUCGCGCCGCGAGUACAUCGCGCUUUACCUCGCGAACGACCUUGCCUGGAGCUCCGUGCGCCGUGACGGCCACAGGGCGAAGAACAAGGAGUUGUGGGUGAGCAUGGCUCGCGGAUUCAUGACCUCCUCCCUGGCGAAGAGUCCGCUCAUGACGCACUGCUGCUCACGUGUGAUACGCGAGGUGUUGUGCGUGCCACGCAAAGCAAGUUAGCGUCUUCCCUCUUUUCUGCCACCGCCACCCUCCAGCACCGCUGAGUACUCUGCGUGCACACAGACGCGCGCGCGCGCACACACACACACAGGCGCUCUGGCGCACGCAGGCACGCCACCUUCUUCGUUUCUUUUUUUUUGUUAUUGUUGUUCAUUGACAUCGCUCUAUUCGCCUUG